GGGAGCGAGCGCGUGCGCGCGGGCGAGUGAAGGCGCAUUGGCGUGCAGGAAGUGGACGCGGCUCGGCCAGGAGCAGACGCGCACGUGCCCAGCAAGCUGGCGGUUGUGACGCAAACUCGUGAGCGGCACGGCUGGCAGUGCAAGAGCGAAUGUGAGCGACGCCGAGCGGGUGGCGCGAGCGUGCGCGUGGUGACGCAGCGGAAGCUGGUGUCAUAUGCAGUUGUUGGACGGCUGGAGCAUAGCGGGUCCAUGGGCACGAGCAGGCGAUGCUAGUAGUGCGACGUGCCGAGCAACGGCACGCGCAGGAGGAGUUGCGGUGAAGUGGUUUUGCGCAAGAUGCGAGAACACGGUGACAUCGGCCCUAACUACGCCACGGAGGUCCCUGGUGACGCAAGAGUGGCUGUAUCGAAGACGCGAGCUCGCUCGCUCGUAAGAUGCACGAGGGGCGGCGAGCCGGAAGGAAAGAUGGCGAAGCGAAGACGACGGUUAUAGCGCGGCGAAUUCGGAAGGAGUAGCUGUACAGUGGCAAGGUGAUCAGGGCAGAAGUAACGCGGCACGGGUUCGACGCGCAGCGUAUGAUCGGCGGCGGUGGUAGACCGGUCCUGAUGGUAUCACGGCAGAUGGAGAAGACGGCGGAGUUUCAGGAUCCGGAGGUCUGAGCGGGAUUGAAUCGGAGCGUUCGUGAGUGCGAGCGGAAGUAUUAUACUAGUGGCCGGCUCGGCUCAAUUCCGCAGGUGUGUGCGCGUGCAAGGCAGCGGGCCACGCGCGAGCAGAUUAAAAGCCAACUAUCGUCGCCACGGAUCACAUGAGGAAUGUCUCUCCGGUUAUUCUCCACCCACGGCAACCAUGCUCGGCAGACCCCUUUGUCAUCCACGGGAUCUCGUCAUUGUCGAGCUUUUCUCUUCGCCGAUCCUGUUCGCCACGGGAAUUCACCUUUUACCCGUUCUUCUUUCACAUCCGAAAUUACCUCAAGGUUUGCCCUAACCUACUGAAUCUUCUUAAUGCCGGCGAUUCCUUUGCCGGGAUAUCGUCGUUAACAUCCUGUUAUCUGUUUUCCCGGACCUGGGACUUGAUUGCUAUGUUUUAGAUAGUUCUAGGGUGUUUUCUGUAAGAUUUCCAGAACUUUCUUUAUUUCAAAUCGAUGAACUUCUACAUUUCAUAGAUUUUCAUAGGAAGUUCAUAAAAAUGUAAAAUCAGUUUCGUUUGAAACCCUAAGUCAAAACCUAUAAGUUUUAUGUUGUGAUCUUGAGUGAAAGACUUUGAUGUGUGGUUUAGGUCAAAUGUUAGGGAAUGAAUGUUUUAUUGUGCUUUAUAUUGUGUGCUUGUGUUAUAAC
rnacentral:lncRNA from 1 species